rnacentral:rRNA from 1 species
UGGUGGAGUGAUUUGUCUGGUUAAUUCCGAUAACGAACGAGACCUCAGCCUGCUAAUUAGUGAUGCGAAUGAUUACGUCCGCAAGGAGAGGGUUCUGGUAAGAGCGUUGGGUUUGACUUGGCGAUCUUAUUGGAAAACUUGUUUUCAUUCGUUAGAAUCUUGAUUCUUCGGAAAAUAGGCUCGAUAAUGACUUCUUAGAGGGACACUUGGUGUUUAACCAAGGGAAGUUUGAGGCAAUAACA